rnacentral:rRNA from 1 species
UACGGGGGGAGCAAGCGUUGUUCGGAUUUACUGGGCGUAAAGGGCGCGUAGGCGGUCGUGACAAGUCACUUGUGAAAUCUCCGGGCUUAACUCGGAACGGUCAAGUGAUACUGUCGGACUAGAGUACAGAAGGGGCAACUGGAAUUCUCGGUGUAGCGGUGAAAUGCGUAGAUAUCAGGAGGAACACCGGUGGCGAAGGCGGGUCUCUGGGCCGAUACUGACGCUGGAGGAGCGAAAGCGUGGGGAGCGAACAGGA